UGGGGAAUAUUGCACAAUGGGCGAAAGCCUGAUGCAGCGGCGCCGCGUGAGUGAAGAAGUAUUUCGGUAUGUAAAGCUCUAUCAGCAGGGAAGAAAAUGACGGUACCUGACUAAGAAGCCCCGGCUAACUACGUGCCAGCAGCCGCGGUAAUACGUAGGGGGCAAGCGUUAUCCGGAUUUACUGGGUGUAAAGGGAGCGUAGACGGCGAAGCAAGUCUGAAGUGAAAACCCAGGGCUCAACCCUGGGACUGCUUUGGAAACUGUUUUGCUAGAGUGUCGGAGAGGUAAGUGGAAUUCCUAGUGUAGCGGUGAAAUGCGUAGAUAUUAGGAGGAACACCAGUGGCGAAGGCGGCUUACUGGACGAUAACUGACGUUGAGGCUCGAAAGCGUGGGGAGCAAACAGG
rnacentral:rRNA from 1 species